AUGAGGACUAAGUGGCAACAACAACAAAAUAAAGAAUUUCCAUGGCUAUUAAACAGCUAUACUGAUCGCAGCCCAUGUGCUGUUAUAUUUGUCCAUUUUUUUUAAUAUAAGUAAUAUUAUAAUACAUUCAAUGCUCCACUAAUAUGUAUAAAUAUAUGUCAAAAAAAAAAACGAAAAGGUAGACAGGACUACCGGCCGCAAGUAUCAAGCAACAACAAUUUGUUUUUUUUUGUUUACUUCCACACCCCAACUAAUUAUUAAAUGCCAAUCCAUUUAAACCUACCUAUAAAUACUCUUUAUAACUUUCAUCUCCUAAAAAAACCCUAGCCCCCAACCCGCUGCCUUCUCCCUACAAUUUCGGUCGCCGGAUUUCGGUGACGAUACCUGCGGUUCCAGCUGUUCGUCUCCGGCCACACCCAAACACCACCACACCUUUCGGAACCCCCUGUACACUUGCCGGAACAAGCCAAGACAUCACCGAGUUCCUGCCAAGCUUACGUACCCUCGCCGGAGAAAUCCGAAGCCGUCGGAGGAACCGAGCUCGCCGGAAAAAGCAUCGAGUGUUCCUGUCAUCGUAUCGGAUAUCCAUUUCGUUCUCUUGGAUUUCUCAAUCUUACUCGU
rnacentral:lncRNA from 1 species